UGCUCCCGCGGGCCCCCUGCAUUUUCUUUCUCUUUUAGUCGGCUCGCCUUUUAAAUCUCCCUCCUGGCCCUUAGCAUGUUUCCGCCCUUCCUCAUAUGCGGGGGGGUCUCCCGCCGCCGAAGUACCUUGCAGGUUUUGUCCACCUACCGGCUCUUAAGGAAUCCUCCGUUUAGUUUAGUCUGCCUCGGCCCCAGAAACGUGUUUGUCCAACACACAACCUUUAAAAAGAAUUUUACCCCCUCCGGUGUAAGAACGUUUAAGCAUUAGACGUCUGCGCGGGCUUAGAGGCAGGAGGAGCGCACCACCCACUUUUCAUCUCUUUUUACCCUAAGACUGAAAACGGCUGGGGGCCGGGGGGGCGGGAAGAAGGGAAAUGAGGAUAAAAGCCUAAUCAGUAAUCGGGCCCACGUCCUUAUCUAUGUGAUCGACUUUCAGGGCUUAAUUUUUGUGUCGUGUUAAAUGAAACGCUCAGCAGAGGUGCUAAUUUUAAUGCCAGCCUGACUCUCCGGAUGUAAUAACAUUUGUUUUUGAAAAAAAUGGCUGUAAAUAGAACGAAUACGCGGAGAAUUUUAGUGGAAUGCCUAUGAAAACAAGUCCUCUUCCGAGUAGUACCUUUGAGUUAAAAAGGAAACGUUAGGCACUGAAUGUACCUAUGGAUUUUAUUCAGCCUGAGAAGUAACCUGCAGUCACAUAGGACACGUGGUCUGAACCUAGCAGUAAGAAGGCAGAGAGAUGCAGAAUACUUAAGACUACUGCCUCAAGGAACCUAGAGCAAGAAGCGAGGAAAGGAGGCUGAAAAUGUCAUCUUCAGGGAGAAGACUUUGAAGAAAGUGAUAGUAGAAAUGUUCUUCUCUUCUGGCAUCUGGCAAAAAUGGGACCUAUGAAAUAUAUCUACCCAAGAAGGAGUUCUUCCCUGAAGACUUUUAUUUAGCUAUGGUCUUCUCUGCAGGAUUGAAAUUUAACAGAAGUAUCUAACGAAGAGGAAUCUGAACAUAGCAGAUGAGAAAGGAAAGGAUUGGGAGAAGAGUCCAGAUGUCAUAGAGCAAAGGGAGGAUGAUGUGUAGGAAGCAGCUAUUAUUUGCUCUGUUGCGUGACUCAAAGAACUCCAAGAAAUUGAUUCCAUCCCACUGGACAUAUCUUUCAAUUUGGGAUAGAAAUUAAUUUUUUUCUAAUAAAAUAGAUAUUAGUAGAUAAAUAACACACAGGAAAACAAUUGAGCGUAGUGACCUGAGUGGUUAAAAUACCUUAUAUAAGAGAUCUUCUUCAGAAAGGUAUUCUUCAGUGUAUGGCAUGUUGCUUUCUAGAAAUGAAUUGGAGUGAUAGCACUGCUGUGAUGAGUAAUGGCCUAUGGGGAGAGGGAAAGGGAAGCAAGAAAGGAGCAAUUAACAGGGAAAUGUGGUCAUAUGGAAAGAAUGAGAUCGAUUCAGGAAACUUCUAGGAGGUAGUAUCACCUGAUUUUAGUGACUGUAUUUAGGGGAUGGGAGAGAAGAGAAGUCCUCUAGAAUGUUGGCUUGGGCCAUGGCAAUACUCUAUGAAAUAGAAACUCCAGGAGGCAAACCAGGUGUGUGGGGGAAAGAUUCAAAUCACACAAGGAUAUAACUGUAGUUUUUACAUCUUUGGGCUCUAUUGAUCCUAGGCCUCCUCUGUCAAAUCACAUAAACUAUUGCUUCCUGUAAGUAGCUUGCUUGUUUGUAAAGAACAGCCAGCUAUAGAAAUUGGAGGCUGGGACUGUGUUGGGAAGAGUAGAAAAACUAGAGGAAAUGAAUUAGAGAUACAGUGGUCUUAAAAAUAUCUUCCCACAUGCCAGGACUUAGCUUUGUAUUAUUUCUACUAGUAAGCCAGGAAUUGAAAUAGAUGAUAGCAAGGACAUAUACAGACCCUUGUGAGGAAAAAGUUAAUGCGGCACGUAUUUGCUUAUUCCUCGCAUGUCUCCAAGGGAACUACGAUUGACCCUUGGCCAACCCUGGGAAUUUGGCCCUUGGAGUGUUUUUAUAUUAAUGAUGGUGACUUUGUUACAUACACCUGAAGCAAUUGCUUUGCACAAACAUGUGCACCUGGUUUCAUUGUUGGGGUCCUGAGUUUCAGUUGCCAUGGAUGAUUGCAUAGCAGAAUCAUCAGACCUCCAUAAAACAGACCUCCAUAAAAGCCUUGGACCCUGAAACUCAGAUGGGUUUCCAUGAGCAGAGGCAUUCCACAGAUGCCUAUAGUUUGCUGCUAGAGAGAGAAAGAAGUCUGCCUUUCUGGACUUCACCAAUGGACCUCUUUCCCACUGCUUUUGCUCCCUACCAUUUGCUGUAAUAAAUUUUAGUCAUGUGUAUAACAUGCUCUUGAGUCUUGUGAGUCCUGGGAGCACCAAAUAUACAAAAUGCUGAAGAAAUUUAAAACCCAAUUUGUCCGUCCAAGUCUUGGUAGGAUUUACUGAAAAAAAAAAUUAACAGAUGUAAGUAUGUAUCUGCGUGUGUAGAUUUAAACUAGAUCAAGUCUUUGGCUCAUGCCCAGGAGACAUUUAUAGUCUCUAUAGGGAUAUAGGACAGAUAGAGUGUUGGGAAAAUGCUUACAGGCAUACGUAUAAAUAAAAGCAAAUUAGAAAUAAAUAGAAGCAAGGCAAAUUAAAAGAUUAAAAUUGGUUAGAGUCAGUCAAAAUUUAAAUAUGGUGCAUAUUUCAGAAGAAAUAUACAACUGGCUUGUCAAAUAGCUUUUGUCUUUUUGCCUGUAAAAGAAAAAACUUUUUUUUCUGGGUUUUAUCUCUUAAGGACUGAGUCCAACUCAAGUUUGACUGAAUUAUUUGUGUGGAAUCAAAAUUUGUAGUGAAUUACAAUGUAGGUAUUUUAUGUAGUGAUUGAGUUCUGCAGUUAUUUCAGCGAUGAGUUAAUAUUCUUAUGUAGUAUCAUUCCAAAGACUCCACACCAAUUCGCGUUUUAAUCAAUAAGCAAUAUCUGGUAGUUUCUUCAGCUAUUUAAAGUGCUUACAUCCAAAAAUUAAGAAUGAACUUUGAGAGUUCUGCUUCUGGUAAUGGCCAAUAGCUCUUAUCAGAUCACAUAUAUUUAAAAAAAAAAAAAAAGGCACUGGGGAACAAGCAAAAGAAGGCAAAUUCUUGAGGGAAGUCAACAUUUGGAAGAAUGAGGUGGCACUUCAGGAGUUUCCUAUUUUUAUGGCUUUUAGCCUGCAGCAUCCAGUCAUGGAGGAUGUCCUACACUUAGAAACUUGCAGGCAUAUUGGCUUGAUGAACCAGAGAAUGGAGUCCAGGGCAGCCACAGUGUGGUAUAAGGCCUAAAAUUAACAUCAUAUACUGCCUUGACAUCUGGUAAAAUUAGGAGUGUCUUGACUAACCUGAGUCCAAGUUCCCUUCCCCACCCUGCUCCUGUGGAUAGGGUCCCUAGCCAAAUAGCCCUCCUUGUCUUGGGGACCACAUAUAUUUCCUCCUUAUCCCUGCAAACCUAUGGAAUUAUUCAAACAAACCAAUCACAUCCUCCCAUGGGAACCAGGGGCUACCUCAUCCCCUUGAUAUUAUAAAACCUGCCUCCCAUAGUGCCUGGUUAUUUACUCCUAAGCUUAACUUCCACGUGGCCCUACAUGGGGUUUGGUAUCCUCCACUCAGACUGUGAGUAUAUGUGACUAGUAAACUGCUGUUGAUCUUAUCUGUCCAGUGCUGGGUGCCAUGUGCUAGGUCAUUCCCAUACACAUAGGGUGGGAAUUCUUCCUUUCCCUUACCAAUGAGAUGAAGAGGCGAUUAAACAAUAUUGGAAAGUGGGGGUGAGAGAUCCCAGAAAGGAGAGAACAAGAGAGAGGGAGGCUUAAAGUCUACAGAAACUCCCCAAAUCUCUAGCUAACUCUUAGACUACACAUGUGCAGGGUAGACUCUAAGCAGCCCAGAUGAGGCUAAAAGAACUGCACUGAGUUAGAGUGAAUUUAGCCAAGGUAACUGCCUGCUGAAACAACAAUUUAGAGAAACAUAACAGAACCAAACAUCUCUAAAGUACAUCAUUCACUAUGUCAUCAUUCACUUAGACACAGGAUAGUAUCUAAGAUUACUAGACAUGUGGAGAAAUAAGAAAAUGUGAUCCAAAAGUCAGCCCAUGGAUAUCAGCCCCAAGAUGAACCAGAAGAAUUGGAGAUAUUUUAAAGUAGCUGUUAGAGGACUAUGCUUCAAGGACUUAAGAGAAAAUAUACUCAAAAUGAAUGAAAAUAUAGGAAAUCUCAGAAGAGGAAAGAAAUUCAAGAAGAACCAAAAGAAAUGAUCAUAGCUGCGACGCCUGGAGAUCAUGAUCCUCGGGUCCUGGGAUCGAGUCCUGUAUCGGAGCCUGCUUCUCCCUCUGCCUGCCGCUCAUCCUGCUUGUGCUCUCUCUCUGAGAAAUAAAUCAAUGAAAUCUUUAACAAGAAAAUAAAAAAAAGAAAUGAUCAUAGCCUUACCUGAACUAUCAUCCAUUCAAAAGUGGGACUAAUAACAGAAAGAUAGGCCUAAAGUGAGAAGAGAAAAACACAAUGUUUAUUUUAAAAAGGCCAACCUGGGUAUUUGAGAAAGAAUGUUAUUGACCUAACCUAUAGGCAAAAUUGGAAGUAGGCAACUUUGCUUUUGAUACCUAUUAGCACCGUUCCAUUCUUCACUAAAUGUAAACCCCUAGGUGUUUGGCACAUAGACUGCUAAAUACAUAUUUAUUGAGUAAGAUGUUUAUCUGCAUUUUCCUUUUUAUUCCCUAAGAAAUCAGUGCCCUAAUGCUGCCCCCUCGUGGCUCAAGCAUCUUGUCAUUGGACAUUUCACCUAAACCUAAACCUUCCUGGGCAAUGCUACUGGCUGGAAGCCGGCCUCUACGUUUGACUUGUGGUUUUCCUCCAUCACAGGAGAUGCUAAGGAUGUUACAGGAUAACAUUAGUAUAGGUAGAAUAAGCACAUUUUUCUUCCUUAAAUUUCAUACUCAAAUUUUUUUAACCUCAUCCAAGUUGGCCUACGACUCUUUAUUAAAAAUCUCUACUGGGGCGCCUGGGUGGCUCAGCUGUUAGGCAUCUGUCUUUGGCUCAGGUCGUGAUCCCGGGGUCCUG